UUUGGUGGCAAUAGCAAAGAGGUCACACCUGUUCCCAUUCCGAACACAGCAGUUAAGCUCUUUAGCGCCGAUGGUACUUGGGGGGCAGCCCCCUGGGAGAGUAGGACGUCGCCAAUU
rnacentral:rRNA from 1 species